UACGUAGGGACCAAGCGUUGUUCGGAUUUACUGGGCGUAAAGGGCGCGUAGGCGGCGUGUUAAGUCAGCUGUGAAAUCUCCAAGCUUAACUUGGAACGGUCAGCUGAUACUGAUGUGCUAGAGUGCAGAAGGGGCAAUCGGAAUUCUUGGUGUAGCGGUGAAAUGCGUAGAUAUCAAGAGGAACACCUGAGGUGAAGACGGGUUGCUGGGCUGACACUGACGCUGGGGCGCGAAAGCGUGGGUAGCAAACAGG
rnacentral:rRNA from 1 species